GUACACUCCUACGGGAGGCAGCAGUGGGGAAUAUUGGACAAUGGGCGCAAGCCUGAUCCAGCCAUGCCGCGUGAGUGAUGAAGGCCCUAGGGUUGUAAAGCUCUUUCACCGGUGAAGAUAAUGACGGUAACCGGAGAAGAAGCCCCGGCUAACUUCGUGCCAGCAGCCGCGGUAAUACGAAGGGGGCUAGCGUUGUUCGGAUUUACUGGGCGUAAAGCGCACGUAGGCGGACUAUUAAGUCAGGGGUGAAAUCCCGGGGCUCAACCCCGGAACUGCCUUUGAUACUGGUAGUCUUGAGUUCGAGAGAGGUGAGUGGAAUUCCGAGUGUAGAGGUGAAAUUCGUAGAUAUUCGGAGGAACACCAGUGGCGAAGGCGGCUCACUGGCUCGAUACUGACGCUGAGGUGCGAAAGCGUGGGGAGCAAACAGGAUUAGAUACCCCUGUAGUCC
rnacentral:rRNA from 1 species